GCUGACGAGUGGCGGACGGGUGAGUAAUGUCUGGGAAACUGCCUGAUGGAGGGGGAUAACUACUGGAAACGGUAGCUAAUACCGCAUAACGUCGCAAGACCAAAGAGGGGGACCUUCGGGCCUCUUGCCAUCGGAUGUGCCCAGAUGGGAUUAGCUUGUUGGUGGGGUAACGGCUCACCAAGGCGACGAUCCCUAGCUGGUCUGAGAGGAUGACCAGCCACACUGGAACUGAGACACGGUCCAGACUCCUACGGGAGGCAGCAGUGGGGAAUAUUGCACAAUGGGCGCAAGCCUGAUGCAGCCAUGCCGCGUGUAUGAAGAAGGCCUUCGGGUUGUAAAGUACUUUCAGCGGGGAGGAAGGGAGUAAAGUUAAUACCUUUGCUCAUUGACGUUACCCGCAGAAGAAGCACCGGCUAACUCCGUGCCAGCAGCCGCGGUAAUACGGAGGGUGCAAGCGUUAAUCGGAAUUACUGGGCGUAAAGCGCACGCAGGCGGUUUGUUAAGUCAGAUGUGAAAUCCCCGGGCUCAACCUGGGAACUGCAUCUGAUACUGGCAAGCUUGAGUCUCGUAGAGGGGGGUAGAAUUCCAGGUGUAGCGGUGAAAUGCGUAGAGAUCUGGAGGAAUACCGGUGGCGAAGGCGGCCCCCUGGACGAAGACUGACGCUCAGGUGCGAAAGCGUGGGGAGCAAACAGGAUUAGAUACCCUGGUAGUCCACGCCGUAAACGAUGUCGACUUGGAGGUUGUGCCCUUGAGGCGUGGCUUCCGGAGCUAACGCGUUAAGUCGACCGCCUGGGGAGUACGGCCGCAAGGUUAAAACUCAAAUGAAUUGACGGGGGCCCGCACAAGCGGUGGAGCAUGUGGUUUAAUUCGAUGCAACGCGAAGAACCUUACCUGGUCUUGACAUCCACGGAAGUUUUCAGAGAUGAGAAUGUGCCUUCGGGAACCGUGAGACAGGUGCUGCAUGGCUGUCGUCAGCUCGUGUUGUGAAAUGUUGGGUUAAGUCCCGCAACGAGCGCAACCCU
rnacentral:rRNA from 1 species